CCACGGGCGGCUGCAGUGGGGAAUAUUGGACAAUGGGCGAAAGCCUGAUCCAGCCAUGCCGCGUGUGUGAAGAAGGCCUUCGGGUUGUAAAGCACUUUCAGUGGGGAAGAAAGCCUUGGGGCUAAUACCCUCGAGGAAGGACAUCACCCACAGAAGAAGCACCGGCUAACUCCGUGCCAGCAGCCGCGGUAAUACGGAGGGUGCGAGCGUUAAUCGGAAUUACUGGGCGUAAAGCGCGCGUAGGCGGUCUGAUAAGCCGGUUGUGAAAGCCCCGGGCUCAACCUGGGAACGGCAUCCGGAACUGUCAGGCUAGAGUGCAGGAGAGGAAGGUAGAAUUCCCGGUGUAGCGGUGAAAUGCGUAGAGAUCGGGAGGAAUACCAGUGGCGAAGGCGGCCUUCUGGACUGACACUGACGCUGAGGUGCGAAAGCGUGGGUAGCAAACAGGAUUAGAUACCCUGGUAGUC
rnacentral:rRNA from 1 species